rnacentral:rRNA from 1 species
ACGUAGGGGGCCAGCGUUGCUCGGAAUUACUGGGCGUAAAGGGUCCGUAGGCGGUGUAGCAAGUCGAUAGUGAAAUCUCUGGGCUUAACCCAGAGGCUGCUAACGAAACUGCUGUGCUAGAGUGUGAGAGAGGCGAGUGGAAUUACGGGUGUAGCGGUGAAAUGCGUAGAUAUCCGUAGGAACAUCCGAGGCGAAGGCGGCUCGCUGGAUCACAACUGACGCUGAGGGACGAAAGCUAGGGGAGCAAACAGGAUUAGAUACCCUGGUAGUCCUAGCCCUAAACCAUCAGGACUUGGGGUUUGCCCUGUACGGGGCAAGUCCCGUAGCUAACGCGUUAAGUCCUGCGCCUGGGGAGUACGGUCGCAAGGCUG